rnacentral:rRNA from 1 species
AACGAACGCUGGCGGCAUGCCUAACACAUGCAAGUCGAACGAGACCUUCGGGUCUAGUGGCGCACGGGUGCGUAACGCGUGGGAACCUGCCCUUAGGUUCGGAAUAACUCCCCGAAAGGGGUGCUAAUACCGGAUAAUGUCUUCGGACCAAAGAUUCAUCGCCUUUGGAUGGGCCCGCGUUGGAUUAGCUAGUUGGUAGGGUAUAAGCCUACCAAGGCGACGAUCCAUAGCUGGUCUGAGAGGAUGAUCGGCCACACUGGGACUGGGACACGGCCCAGACUCCUACGGGAGGCGGCAGUGGGGAAGAUUGGACAAUGGGCGAAAGCCUGAUCCAGCAAUGCCGCGUGAGUGAUGAAGGCCUUAGGGUUGUAAAGCUCUUUUACCCGGGAUGAUAAUGACAGUACCGGGAGAAUAAGCGCCGGCUAACUCCGUG